rnacentral:lncRNA from 1 species
UAUGUACCGUCGAAUUGGGAGAGAAAAGCCUUCAGUUCCUUUGCACAGAGACGAAAAUGAAAAUGAAAAUGAGCGGCACAAUCUAUUUUUUAUUUUGGUGAUUUUGAAAAGGGCAUUUGUUGGGAAAAUAAUUUUUAAUCGAGACCCUCGUUUACAGUAACCGAGGGUGGACUUCGGUUAGCUUUGGCCGAGUAAACAAGACUUUAUGCGCGGGCCAAGCGUUUUCACCGGGCCAUCCGUGUAAAGAUGAAAUGCUACCAAACAGAAGGUAGUUCCUGGUUUAAUAUGCUAAUAUGGCCUUAAACUACCUAUCAAACACGCCCUAAAUGUGCAGAUACAAUUUCUUUUGCCAACAAUUUGAAAUAAAAUCAGCAAUGGAAACCAGCAAAUCUUGUUUCUUGAAGGAUGCAUUCAGACAUCCGGUUUUGGUUGCGCGGCUUUCGAGCUCGUUCCAACGGAACCGUUAGGGUUCUGGAGGAGAUCCGAGGGCCCAGAUCCGAUCCCGUGGCAGAACUUGGCGUAGGCGAGGAUGAGGAAAGUGAGGCUGAACAUGAUGGAUAGGACUACUAGCACCACCGCCAUGCUCGGUUUAAGUGGAUUCACGUCGUGCUCGUUGCUCGUGUUUCGAGCUUCUGCACACACCAGCAAGGGCAGAAGAGCAAUCAGCUGUCUCAGAUGAUCCAUUUUAGAUGGAAAUUUAUCCGUACUUUGCUUCACUAUUUGUAUUGUUUCUUGAUCAUGAGAUGAAGAGAUUUAUGUUUGAGUCAAAUUUUGUUAUGGAUGAUGAUGCUUUGGAUUACUCUUUGGAUCUUUCUGUCCAAUGCAAGUAUGAUCUAAGUGUGAGGGGAUUUGAUGUGUGUAUUUGAGUUAUUUAGAUUAGUGUGUUUUUGUCGUCAUUAUUAUGAGAUAUUAUCCAAUUUGUGGUGUGAUUGAUGUAGGAAUUGCAUGGAGGAGAGUCGAGGCUCGUUGAUGGAAGAGAUGGUGGAAAUUCGAGAAUUUAUGAAGAAUUGCAUGAAAGAUGGAGGAAUUUUAGAGAUUGGGCUUGAAGAUAAUUGUUCCAAAUUUAAUUAAGUCCAAAACUCAUAUUUUUAAGUAUUUUGGGUUUGAUUUUAUUAAGGGCCGAAGCCCGUAGGGAUUAGAGAGGCGGUGGCUUAAGGGAGUCUUAAUUCCCUAAUUUUUGUUGCCAUA